rnacentral:rRNA from 1 species
AUUGAACGCUGGCGGCAGGCCUAACACAUGCAAGUCGAGCGGAGCGACGGACGGGUGCGUAAGGCCUAUGUAUCUGACUGGUCGUGGGAGAGAGAGUCCUGACCCGGGCGCUAAUACCUCCUACUUUCAGUUGAGCCUGGAUCGGAUUAGCUAGUUGGUGGGGUAAGGGCCGACCAAGGCGACGCUCCGUAGCUGGUCUGAGAGGAUGAACAGUCACACUGGAACUGAGACACGGUCCAGACUCCUACGGGAGGCAGCAGUGGUGAAUAUUGCACAAUGGGCGAAAGCCUGAUGCAGCCAUGCCGCGUGUGUGAAGAAGGUCUUAGGGUUGUAAAGUACUUUCAGUUGGGAGGCGUUACCAACAGAAGAAGCACCGGCUAACUUCGUGCCAGCCGCCGCGGUAAUUC